rnacentral:rRNA from 1 species
AUACGAAGGUCCCAAGCGUUAUUCGGAAUCACUGGGCGCAAAGAGUACGUAGGCGGUUUGGUAAGUCAGGUGUGAAAUCCCGGAGCUCAACUCCGGAACUGCAUCCGAUACUGCCAGACUUGAGUAAUGGAGAGGCAGGUGGAAUUCUCGGUGUAGCGGUGAAAUGCGUGGAUAUCGAGAGGAAGACCAAUGGCGAAGGCAGCCUGCUGGACAUUUACUGACGCUGAGGUACGAAGGCUAGGGGAGCGAAAGGGAUUAGAUACCCCAGUAGUCC